AUGGGAACGCGAAGAACCUUACCUACUCUUGACAUCCAGAGAACUUUCCAGAGAUGGAUUGGUGCCUUCGGGAACUCUGAGACAGGUGCUGCAUGGCUGUCGUCAGCUCGUGUUGUGAAUGUUGGGUUAAGUCCCGCAACGAGCGCAACCCGUUAUCCGUUUGUUGCCAGCGGUUAGGCCGGGAACUCAAAGGAGACUGCCAGUGAUAAACUGGAGGAAGGUGGGGAUGACGUCAAGUCAUCAUGGCCCUUACGAGUAGGGCUACACACGUGCUACAAUGGCGCAUACAAAGAGAAGCGACCUCGCGAGAGCAAGCGGACCUCAUAAAGUGCGUCGUAGUCCGGAUUGGAGUCUGCAACUCGACUCCAUGAAGUCGGAAUCGCUAGUAAUCGUAGAUCAGAAUGCUACGGUGAAUACG
rnacentral:rRNA from 1 species